CUUAAUGCCCAGCUUCAGGCUCGGUCAACGAUCGAGCUUGUCACGCCUAUUCCCGCUCUGAGCAUGCGCAGAUCCCACCCCCGGGCAGUGCACUGACCCAAAUAGACCGUACAUACGACAACCAGAGCGCUAGGAACUCCAAGCGUACCUUUCCCUACCAGGUUCCGCAGUUCGCGUUUGAAUUUUAUAGGGACACGCAUGCCCCCAUGAUCCCCUCUGCUUCCUGUUUCUCUCCAAAGAUCUUGGUCAGAAGUUGGAACAACUGGGAAAAAGAACACAACAGUCAACUGGAGUAAAGUUGUCAUCAGACUUUGAAGAUGGCUGAAAAGCCUGGAAAAUUCCUAGUUCCCUGGGCCAAGGAGAGAAUUCCCCAGAGUUCCCAGUCAGAGAGAGGAAGCAGAGCCCAUUACCGAGACAAGAGACACUGAAUUGCAGUCUUAAAGAAGAAAGCCAAUCCAUGCCAGACAGAGGUAAAACACAGAUCCAAAAGGAAGAGGAAUUAUUUUUAAAAAAUGAAAAGUGAGGAAAGGGGGUAAGUGAUGGACAGGUCAGAGGGCUUUGGGAUAAAGUGAAGGGAAUGGGAUGGGUUUGGGGGAAAUGAGCUGGGAUUCUUGAGGAGCCACUCAGUACCUGCUUCAUAUAGGAAGUCCUUAUGUGGAGUCAGAUUCCUAAUAAUUGUUUCUAAAGUUAGAGAAACAGUCGGCAUGAAUGAAGACUGAUAGAACCUAUUCGGUAAAGCAUACUCCUAUUUAUGGCAAAUAAGGAGGCAGGGUUGAGCUCCCUAAGGACUUCUUUUCCCUCAGCUCUGUCCAUUCUGCAGAUUCCUAUUUUUCCCCAAGAGGAGAGUACCAUCUUCCCUAAAAGUAUUUUUUUGUCUUUUCAUAAUGCCUGGAACCUAGAAAAAAUUCCAGUCACUACAAAACCAGGAGAUGGGGAAGAAAUUCUCAAAGAAACUCUUAGCCAAAGUAAUUCCUUAAGCAUAAACCUGACUAUGUGACUCCCAGAACCAACCAACUCCAGGGACUUCCUGGGGCCUCUAGGAUAAAACAGAAAUUCCUUUAGAUUCUAAAGCAUUUGUCUUAACUUAUUUUUCCAAUCUCAUUAGAAUGGUUAAGUUAUUUCCCCUUCCAUGCUCUAACCUAGCUAAACUGGCCUCUGUUCUUUACACAAGCUAUUCUAUCUCUGCAUGUUUGCACUGGCUGUCCCCCUGCCUGGAAAUGUACUCCUCCUUUCAUGUACCUCAUAGAGUUCUCUUCCUUUAAUAUAAAACUUAAUUCUAAAUCAGUCUUGAUUAGAAAAAUUAAAAUUAAAACAAUGCUGAGGUACCAACUCAGACCUAUCAGACUGGCCAAUAUGAUAGUAAAGGAAAGUGAUAGAUGGAGGGGACGUGGCAAAAUGUGGACACUAAUGCAUUGUCGGUGGAAUUGUGAACUGAUCUAGCCAUUCUAGAGGGCAAUUUGAAACUAUGUCCAAAGGGCUAUAAAACUGUGAUUCUGUAAUGCUAUUCUGAAUCUGUAUCCCAAAGAGAUAAUAAAAAAGGGGAAAGGACCUACUUGUACAAAAAUAUUUAUAGCAGCUCUUUUUGUGAUGGCAAAGAAUUGGAAAUUGAGGGGAUGCCCAUCAAUUUUGGAAUGGCUGAACAAAUUGAGAUUCAUCCAGUUCUGGCUUCUCCCAGAGACAAGACACUCACAUGACUCCUUGAACUAAGCCUUCCAUUACUUGAGUUAACUGGGGAUUUAAAACAAAUUUAGAAGCCUUUUUAAUCUGAUCCCCUUUUAUGGAAACAGGGGCAGGGAACCUCUCUGUUGCUGCCAUCAGAGCUCUCUCUUCAGGUCCCUUGGUUUCUGGCCCAACUAUAGCAAUUACCCAGCUGUAGACCCAAGGAUCCUGCUAGGGUAGAUCAAGAGGCAACUGUAGCAACAUAGCCAUAUGAGCACCAGGAGCUAGGAUGGGUCACUGGCCUCUGUAAAUAAAGGGAUACAGAGAGGAUGAUAAAGAUAAAAGGACAACAAAUACACUCACCUGGGAUCAUGCAGUAAGAAGU